GGCCAAGGCAUGAUGCAGUGACAGAUCUAAAAUGGACAUUCCCAUUGCCUACGGAUGUGUUUCAGAAAAAGGUCUUAACCCUGCUGUUUGACCUGCGCGAUCAGUACAAAAAAGCAGAACCUGCCUCUUCAGCCGUGCACAUUUUGAGGAUGGAGACUAUGGAGGAUUUUGAGGCAGAGGA